rnacentral:rRNA from 1 species
GACGAACGCUGGCGGCGUGCUUAACACAUGCAAGUCGAACGGAAAGGCCCUGCUUUUGUGGGGUGCUCGAGUGGCGAACGGGUGAGUAACACGUGAGUAACCUGCCCUUGACUUUGGGAUAACUUCAGGAAACUGGGGCUAAUACCGGAUAGGAGCUCCUGCUGCAUGGUGGGGGUUGGAAAGUUUCGGCGGUUGGGGAUGGACUCGCGGCUUAUCAGCUUGUUGGUGGGGUAGUGGCUUACCAAGGCUUUGACGGGUAGCCGGCCUGAGAGGGUGACCGGCCACAUUGGGACUGAGAUACGGCCCAGACUCCUACGGGAGGCAGCAGUGGGGAAUAUUGCACAAUGGGCGGAAGCCUGAUGCAGCAACGCCGCGUGCGGGGUGACGGCCUUCGGGUUGUAAACCGCUUUCGCCUGUGACGAAGGGUGAGUGACGGUAAUGGGUAAAGAAGCACCGGCUAACUACGUG